UACAUUUUGGUCAAACAGACAAGUCAAACUUAAAGAUGAUCAUAUAUGGUUAAAGAUGAUUUUAUAUGGUUAUAUAAAAAUAUAAUCAUUUUACAGGGCUCACCUUCAAGAGGCAGCCAAUCUGGUGGACAGGGUGGAUGUUAUUGUCCUGGUGGGAGCCCGGGCUCUUUUGGAGGAAGCAACUACUAUGGUGGACAGGGUUCUUCUUAUUCUGGAAGCAGUCAGUAUGGAGGACAGGGAUCUUCUUACUCAGGAAGCAGCCAGUAUGGUGGGCCGGGCUCAUCAUAUUCCGGAGGCCGACAACAUGGUAAACCAGUAAGUAAAAACUUGUCAUGUUUGCCUUAUAUUUUUCUCAUAAGAAAAGUAUUUAGUCAUCAUUUUACUCUGUAAGUGGACUUCUUUUGUCAUUCCCUAUAUUUCUUUUUUACUAAUUACAGAAUGAGAUUAUCGGAUCUUUAGUUUUAAUAAGACAUUACUUACAUUACUUCAGAACAGUUAUUUCAGUUUAACAGUUUAAAUUCAGCAAUCUUUGAAUUCAUUCAGCAAACUUUAUGUUCAGGGAACACUUUUUCAGUUAUUUCAUAUGCAUUUGUCUUUGUAAGUAUCCUGAAUUUCUUGGAAAAAAGUAUUUUCUUUUUGAAGGUCAUAAUAGUUGCUACUUUAUUUCAUUUAUAUUCAUAUUUUCAUUUUAAGCUUUUCAACCCUUAAUUUAGAUCUUGUCAUUGUGUGGUGAGAGAUGCAAAGAGUUAGCUUUUUGUAUAGAAAAUAAGAUAUAUCCACCUGUUGAUUAAAAAGGGGACACAACUGUUACAUUUUCUUCCACCUGAAUCACAAAGGGGAGACAUUUUGUGUACCAUAUUAGAUGGCUUUUCUUAUAAAUCAGAGGUUGUGAGAUUUUGUGUUGGCAGUUUUAUUCAAAUAAGCAAACUGUUUCACCAGAAAACUUGUUACGACUCUUGCAGAAUGUCUUUUCAGUAUUCACUUUUAUUUUUCCAGUUAGAUUCCUUUUUAGAGCUUUCUUCAAGCAGAACUGGAGCACAAUGUUAAUGCUAAAUGCCUGAGAAAACCAGAUAAUAAAUUAAAAUUGGAAAAUAUUGUUUAAACUUGAACCUUAGGAUGAAGAUGUUUUCAUUCUUCCCUCCAGCAAAGAUAUCUCUGUACUUGUCUGAAUAAAUUUGAUUGGAUAAUUUUAUUACAAAAGAUAUAUUUCAAUGUCAGGCUAACUAUUUCAGUUUCAGAUUGUGUAGUUCAGCCAGAAGGAUGCAUUGCUUUGCAAAUCCUCUGAAACUGCUAAUAGAAUUUAAAAAAAAAAANNNNNNNNNNNNNNNNNNNNNNNNNNNNNNNNNNNNNNNNNNNNNNNNNNNNNNNNNNNNNNNNNNNNNNNNNNNNNNNNNNNNNNNNNNNNNNNNNNNNAAAAUAUAAUCAUUUUACAGGGCUCACCUUCAAGAGGCAGCCAAUCUGGUGGACAGGUAUGCUUUUAUGUUCUCAACACCACUCAGCCCUGCUAGUAUUACAGGCACUCUCAGUUUACCUUCUGUAGCUUUGCUUCACAAGAAGCGUUUUUUCCUCACUGCUGUCCUUCUUGCCCACAGCCUAAGUAGUAUGCUGUUUUCUUCUGACAUAUCAUUCCCAGAGGCCCAGAGUAGCCAUCUGUCUGAAUGUCAGUUGUCUUUAUCUUCAUACCCUCUUCAUCUUUGUUGCAUUUGAGACACUGAAGGGCAAACCUCAGCCAUGUCUUAAUUUUAUCAGAUUAGAAAUUAUUUUACAGUCCUCCACUGAAAGUAAUCUUUAGUGUUUUCCAUAAUAUCUGUAGCAUGUAAGAGUUCUGUAUGUAUUCCAGCCACUUUAGCUUCUUUUAGGGGAGGGUAAUAACCAACAAUUUUUCUGUAGCACUCAAACUUUUUUAUUUGCCUUUUUGAUGAGUACAGUUCAUAAGAUAAUGAUCGUAGAUAACAAAUUUAAAGAUAAAAUCAGAAAGUUUUAUCCCAUCAGAGCAAUAAGUGCAGGAAAAGUUGCAGAGAGUGAAAAGAAAAAAAUAGAUUAUGUUCUAGAAAGCACUUGAGCAGAUAUGAAUGUAACUUUAUUGUUUGCAUAACUGGAUUUGCAGAAAUAACUUGAAUUGUAACCAGAGUCCAUUUUUGUACUGUUCUUGAGAACUUAAAAUAUUUUCUGCAUUCUUUACAGAGUGGAUGUGAUUGCUCUGGUGCAAGUUCUGUAAGUGUUAUUUGUUUAUUGUAUGUUUUUUUCAUACGUACAUAUAUGUGUAAGAGAAUAUUUAUAUGAUUUGGUAAAUUAUCUGUAGGCCUAUUUAUUUCUAAGUUAUUUAA
rnacentral:lncRNA from 1 species